AGCGAACGCUGGCGGCAGGCCUAACACAUGCAAGUCGAACGAACUCUUCGGAGUUAGUGGCGGACGGGUGAGUACCACGUGGGAACGUGCCUUUAGGUUCGGAAUAACUCAGGGAAACUUGUGCUAAUACCGAAUGUGCCCUUCGGGGGAAAGAUUUAUCGCCUUUAGAGCGGCCCGCGUCUGAUUAGCUAGUUGGUGAGGUAAAGGCUCACCAAGGCGACGAUCAGUAGCUGGUCUGAGAGGAGGAUCAGCCACAUUGGGACUGAGACACGGCCCAAACGCCUACGGGAGGGAGCAGUGGGGAAUCUUGCGCAAGGGGCGAAAGCCUGACGCAGCCAUGCCGCGGGAAUGAUGAAGGUCGUAGGAUUGUAAAAUUCUUUCAGCGGGGACGAUAAUGACGGUACCCGGAGAAGAAGCCCCGGCUAACUUCGUG
rnacentral:rRNA from 1 species